UGGGUGGUUGUUUAAAUGUGCAAACUGUAAUUUAAUAUUUUUUUAAUUUUCAUCUAAAUAUUGCUGUUUGUAUAUUUUUGCUAAUUUUAGAGAUGACAAUGUUCAAAUAAUAAUUUCCUUGUUUAAUAUGAUUUUGUAGAAAGGGAUUUACUUGAGUGGUUGGCUGGUCUUGAACCUGUUCAAGAUGUAUAUGAUAAUGAAAGAGGUGAUCAAGGUGAUAGGGCAGAAAGUGAUGACAAGUUAAGUGAUGAAGACGAAAGUGAUGGGGAGGAAGAAAUCGCCCACUCUGUACCAUUCAAGUGCAUCAGUGCUGCUCAUGAGAAAAACUAUUGACAUCAUUUGGAAAAUAAAGGCAUAAUACCUCGCUCUUCAUGAACAAGAUAACACAGUGAAUUCAAUGUAAGAAUACGGCCAGCACCGUUGAAUCCAAGGGACCCAAGUGCAAUGGUCAAUUCCAGCUUUUAGGUUAUGCAUGCAGGGGGUGAUGGGAAGUAAGGUAUCAUAUUGCUGAUAAUGCUGAAAAAAUAGAAAUGGUGGCCAUGUAAACAUGGAGUGGUAGCUAUUGUAAAUAUUGAAAUAUUUUGGUUGUUUAGGCAGUUUAUUAAAAUUUUUCAGCAUAAUCAGCAAUAUGAUACCUUACUUCCCGUCACCCCCUGCAUGCAUAAAUUAAAAGCUGGAAUUGCCUAUUGAUCUAGACUAUGGAACUGUAUGGACACAUGUUGGUUAUAUUGCUUCUGAACUAUGCAAGUAUUUGCACCCACUAAUUGCUGCAGGAGAUGUUGUGGAUGUCUAUGUUCAGUGUAUCAAGUAUAGGGUUGACUUUUUUAAUUAAAAAUAGGAUUUUAUCCAAAAAUUUUCAUAAAGACACCUGGGGCCGAUUGUUCAAUGGUGGGUUAGCGCUAACCCUGGGUUAAAAUUUAACCUGCUGUUUUAGUUUGUGUACUUCUACACAUAGAUAUGUGUAUUUCAAAACUUCAGAGAAGUAAACUUCUAUCGAUCCAGACAAGAUCUCUGAAGAAAUAUUUCCAAACUUAUAGAAAAGCUGUCAGGAUCGGAAGUUUGCUUCGAAUUUUAGGUUAACCAUGGGCUAAAACUAACCCAGCUUUGAACAACCGGCCCCUGGUGAGUGGAGACUCGAGUGGUAGGAAAAAGCAUGAGUGUAUGUUGACAGAUGUUUUUUAUAUAAUAAAUAGCAACUAGUGCCAACUACCAAGCUAUGUUUAGCAAGUUAAUAGUGCAUUUAUUUCAAUUGGCUAACUUUUUUAGUUUUUCCAGCAUUUUUUAAACAAACCAUAGGUUAUGAAUGAUAACUGGGUAUAUCUAAUUAAACCAAUCUGUCA